CAUGGCUAUUUACCCGCACCGUGCAUGCGAGAGCAUGACUAGAGGCCGUAGAAGACGUCGAAAACGAGACGAAUUCAAUCGUACAAGGUGAAGAGGUUUCAUGAAUGAUUCCAUUCUUUUCACAAUAUUCUUUAAAUUGAAAGGAAUCUGUUGAAUGGUGUGGAUUGAUCAGCAUGCAGGAGUUGUGGGUGAAUAUGGAGUGCAUUAUACACUCCAGAGGCAUGUUAUUGGAAUGACAGAUAAGGAAUCCAAUGAAUGGUGUGGAUUGACCAGCAUGCAGGAGUUAUAGGGCAGAUAUGGAGAACAUUACACUCCAAAGACAUGUUAUUGUAACUUAAAAGGUUUGAGUGACUAUCAAAUUUGGGCUGUGCAGCUGAGCCCACCUACUGAUUGAAUUAUAGUCUAAAAUCAGAACGAUUGAAUUAUCCUGUCCGAGCAACAACUGAACUGUUGGACACUCUCCAAGGUUCCACAAACAGUCCAUUGAUCAGACCAGUCGGUCCAGUUCUUACCCAGGAGGCCAUGUGUUGAACGGUCCAGAUGGAUGAAAAUGUCUUAAUGGUGAAUUUUAAUGUAGUUCACACGUGCUGGUCGCUGGAAAAACAUCUCUUUUACCUUUCACAACCUUGGACUAGAAGAGACCCCAUGACCACAUUUGCUAAUUUGAAAGAGAUUAGAAUUG